GAGACGUAAGGUCGGCGGAGAAUGCGCGGGUCGAGUGCUGUAGUUCGAUUUUUGCGUGUGUGCGUUGCUUGCGGCCUUUGUGCCUUUUUAUUCUUUGCUUACCUUUAUGAUAUAAAGACCUUAUUUCUUACAAGGAGGAAAAGACCGCUGACUUCAGAAACAGCGGGAACCCCAGCUCGUCCCCGCAUUCCCAGUUUACAGCUGAGGAAAUUAAGCUUCAAGUUGCCCAAGUUUAUAGAAUGAGUCAAUGGCAGAGGUUGAACUCAGAUGACAAAAUUGGGGUCUGGACGUGUGCAAGGACUUUUCCAAAGUCAGCUGGAAAGGAGCUGCUUAGCUGAGAGGUUCUGGCUCCAGAGUCUCCUGUGAAGUUGCAGUCAAGAUGUCUGCUGGGACCCCAGUCAUUUGAAGCCCUGUCUGGGGCAGGAGAAUCUAGGUCCAAAAUGGCCGUUGCAGGAGUCCUUAUCCACACCAUGUGGGACCUCUUCAUAGAUGUUCGAGUGUCCUCAUGGCAUGGCCACUGGCUUUCCCCAAAGUAAGCAGUCCAAAAGAGGGUAAGACAGAGCCCACACUGUCUUUUAUGAAUUAGCCUUAGAAGUCUAACACGGUUACUUCCACCACAUUCAUUAGUCGUUAGGUACAGCUCACAUUCAUGGGGAGGAAAAUCAGGGCCUGUCUUUAGAUAGGAGAUGUAUCAAAGAAUUUGUGGACAUAUUUUAAAAUCACAGCACUACUCUUGAUGUACUAAGUCAGUGACUCCCCCAGGAGUCUCACAGAGAAUUGACUCCUUGCCCACCUAUACUACCUUUGUGGGUAGAGACUCCAGUAGUGUGCUGGUUAAUGUUCAACCAGUGGCUUUCUAGAAAACAAAAUGUAUGGAUACAUAUAUAUGUUCUAAGUUUUACUGAUAUGAAGAAUGUGUAGCACAGAAUUUAUAAAUAAUAAAAUAUACAGUAUUAUUUAUUGUAAAUUCCAUAAAACCUGUUGUUUUUCACAAAAGGUUUUAGUUUAUUUUUCCCAAAUGCUUGUAUUGGUAACAUUUUCUGUAUUACCUUUUUAUGUCCAGACAAUCAACAAAACUGAAAAAGCCCAGCCUUGUAGCAUUUGCCAGUUAUUGUGUAAAUGUCCCCACUAUGGUGGAUUUCAGGUUACCACUAUGAUAUCACAGAAUGCAGAAUUGGAAGGAGAUUCACAGCAGCACCCCAUUAUACUAUAUUUUCACCAUACAGAUGCAGUCGAUGUAAAUUACCUGAGGAGCAUAAAUAAUAAUAAAAUGAAGUUAAAUAAUUCGGAAAUGAUUUUGAAAAUUGUGUUGGUUUUUAAUGUAAGUUUAUAUGUCAGCUUUAAUAAAAUCUGUCUUUAACAACUAGCUUGAAGAAUUCUUGAAAAAUUAAUAAUCAGCUCUCAUAGGCUAGUGACAACUGGCUUCAGUGCACCCCUGACUAGAAACACCUUUGCUUUCCACCACAUGUGGAAUUCCCAGUAUUUCAACAAUCAGAAUUGAGCUUAUGAGCCAACCAAGAAAAAUAACAUCUUAUAUAAGAGACAGCAAUUUGAGAGAGGAAUAUCAGUCAGAAGAAACAAGGGGAAAGUCGAACUUGUAAAAGAGAGAUGAAAAUUUGAAUUUUUUUAAAGGCAUCCUUAAGCAUAUUUAAGUACAACACAAAAAGUUAAAGAAUUUAGUAGAUAAAUAGAAAGAUGAGAUGAUUACCACUGAGACACAGAUCAAUGAUCUGGAAGAUAAAAACAAAUCAUAAAAAUAAAAGUAUCUUGAAAUUUUGCAAAGUACAUCAUAAAUCAAUGCAUCAGAGAUUAUGUGUCAUGACAAAAAAAUUUAUACUCAGAAUGAUAUGUCACUGCUUACUAUGCAAAUAUUUUCUAUUUCUCCUAGCUUCAAACUAUGCAUAUGGGCCAGGCGCGGUAGCUCAUGCCUGUAAUCCCAACACUUUGGAAGGUCAAGGUGGGCAGAUCAUUUGAGGCCAGGAGUUUGAGACCAGCCUGGCCAACAUGGUGAAACUCCGUCUCUACUAAAAAAUACAAAAUAAUUAGCUGGGUGUCGUGGAGCAUACCUGUAAUCCCAGCUGCUCCGGAGGCUGAGGCACGAGAAUCGUCUGAACCCAGGUGAUUCUGCACUCUACUUGGGCUCUGUCUCAAAACAACAACAACAGCAACAACAAAAACUGUGGUAUUUUUAAUGAACUAAAUAUUAAUCUGCUAACACAGCAUAGGUUUUAUGAUUACUGCAAUUCAAAAGUCAUAAUAAAUUUUAAAACAAAUCCUCCUGUACCUGUUGUGGUGCAUGCAGAAACUUUUCCUGUUCAACACACUUAUAUGGCACUAUAUAGGGAUAUACCAAAUAGCU
ensembl:lncRNA RBM26-AS1 RBM26 antisense RNA 1